GCGUUGCCCUGUGACGCGCGGCAGCAUGGCGGAGCUGGGGUCGCCGCGGGAGGUCGCGCAGGUACGCGGCCAGCAGUGACUUCACCAGCUCCUACACAACCCAUGUUUCUGCUGGGCUCCUCAGGCACCAGUGACAUCGCAGAGACAUCCACAAGCCAGGUGACAGCUCCUGGCCUCUCGUCUGCGCAGGCACCAGUGACCUCCAGGCACCUACACAAUCCCUAGGCCUGUUCCUGGCCCACUGGCUACUCAGGCGUGAGCGACCUCAUAAGCACAGACGCAGGGCGUGGGCCUGCUCCUGGCCUGUCAGGUGUCCAGACAUGAAGGAUCUCACCAAACCUACAUGAGCCGUGGGUCAGCUCAUGGCCUGUCAGCUGAGCGGGACCUCACAAGUCCUUGAUUUCCAUUUUUAUUAACUCAUUCGUGUUACUCAUCCCGUUUGUGUCCCAGAGCUCAAAAUCCACCUUUUUGAGUGCAAGUUGAAGGUAAGUGUCCAUUUAGUUUUAGGACCAUCCCUACCCCACCCCAGAGGAGACCCCCCUCAGACCCAUAGGGCCACCCCAUAGAGCUGCCCCAGCCCCACAGGGCCCCGCACCGUGAUGGUGACCAGGAUGGGUUUGGGGUUUGGGUGCAGGUUGGGGUCCAGGGAGAAGACGCAGAACUGCACUAGGGAGGUACGGGAUUGUAGGAAUGUGUCUGAGAGAAAAUGGCCAUGUGAGCCAGCCUCCCUGCUGUGAGAGAUUAGAUUAAGGGCAAAACAGGUGGUAGAAGAUGGAAUUAGUACAUGGGAAAAAAGGGACUGAGAAGGCAGAAAACAUGUUGUGCUAGUGACUAAGCAAUUUACGACGCGAAUUCUUGUAACCAAUCUGAUGUGUGAAUGAACUGCAUGCACAGCGCGUGGACAGUGUAACUAGCUAAUCAGAAAUAAGCGACUCACGUGUACAGCUACAACGCAGGGUAUAAAAGAUGAUGAUCUGUGCUUAAUAAACGGCUUCUGUUGAUUCACAUUGGAUCGUCUGGAGUCCAGUUAUUUCUCCUCAGAUGGUGACCCCGACGUGAUCCCGAUCGGCGCUUGGCUUGAGCAACGGAACGCGAGGGGCGGAAGACCCAGAAGGAGAUCCACCGUCUGGAGGAUGGCUCAGAUGGACUGAGACCGGGCGGAUUGGGCGGCAAUCCGGAAUAAACAGACAACGUGGCCACGGACACCCGGAGAGAGUUUCAUGACAAGAUAGAUUCGACUCUUGAGAGUCUGAAAGGCACAGUUGAACGUCUGAGGCAGCCACCUUCGAUCUCAGCAGAGGUUGAGAAGACUAAAGAGCAAAUCAGUGAAAAUAAGAACAUGUCAGUGGAUCUGGAAGAACUUCAGCCGGUGUAUGAGACGCUUAAACAGAGAGGGAAGGAAAUGAUUGCUCGCUCAGAAGGAGCCGAUAAGGAUAUAUCUGCUAAAGGCUGCUAAAGACGAAAUUGAUGGACUGCAAGAGGAACUAGCAACAGUUCUGAGCCUUGGCUCUGACCUUGGAACUGCUUGUGGAGAGCCUGACAAACCUAUUGUCCACAAGAGCAUAGAUGAGGUAUGGGAAAUGCAGGUGCUUGAAUCUGCUACGCCAGGUGCUUGUUCAGCUGAAAUUGGUAUAUCCUCCCUGCCCCCAACACAUUUUGCAAAUAGACAUUUUGCGGCAAAUGUAAGAUACCCCUGAAGCUUUUAUGAUAACGUAAGGUUUGCUUUUCAAGUAAAUGGAUCUUGGCUCGUAUUAGUUUAGAAUGUAUAGACAAUUUUAUUGUAUUGAUUUAUGGGUUAAAAGUUCUGUAAAAGACAGAAAGGUUUUUUGUGGAAAUAGUCACUGAUGAAUGCAAUAGAUGGCUACUUUUUGCAAUAGGAAUGCUGGAAUAAAUUUGAAACGUAUCUGGUUUAUGCCAAGUGCGACAUCUUGACUGAGACAAUCCUGCUUGGAUGACUACAGAGUACUGACAAUUUCUCCAGUAUUCAGCAGUGUGUUUCUUUUAAGCUACCUUUUUGAUAAGGAUGCAAUUCCAAAUGAUUUAAUAAUACUAUUUCCCAUAUUGACUGUAAUCCGUAGGUUAAUGAAACUAUUCAAUAAUCAGUAUUGAAUUUUACAGCUUUUGUCAUCCAGAACGUCGAGUGUAUUCUGAAGGAAAGUAACUAUGCAGUGAUAAGGAGAACAAGAGUUUUAACAUGGAAUUAAUGUGAACUAUUCAUGCUUAGUUUAUUGGUGUUAUUGAUGAGUGAAUAAUGAGUGAACGCACAUUAUACAGCAGCAGUAACGUUCUUUUGUCCAUU